rnacentral:tRNA from 1 species
CUGGGUAAAGUGAAUGGUUAACACACUUGGCUGCUAACCAAAAAAUUGGAGGUUCAAGUCUACCCAAA